rnacentral:misc_RNA from 1 species
UGCUAGCCUUCAUUCAGCUUCUUUACUAUCAGGGGAAGCACCUGAGAGAUUCAGGUGCAAGCAAAAUGGAAUGCCCAUGGUUUGGAAGCAACUUAGCAAUAAAUUAGUAAAUGAUCCAUCUUUACUCCUUUCUUUUUCAUGAUACACCUACUUGCCUAGAAGAAUCCUCCCUUCUUCAGGUUACCUAAAUUCAAAACUUGGUAAAAGUAUGCGCAGAAGGAAAGAAUGACAGAUUUUCUGUUUUCCCCCACGCUUUAUCACUGAAAAUGUGCCCUUUUUCUUAAGCUUUCUGACUUAAUACUAUCUGUACAUUCUUCAUUUAUCUAGAGCUCUUGGAAGAA